rnacentral:rRNA from 1 species
GAUGAACGCUAGCGGCAGGCCUAACACAUGCAAGUCGAGGGGUAGAGUUCUCGGGACUUGAGACCGGCGCACGGGUGCGUAACGCGUAUGCAAUCUACCUUAUACAGGGGAAUAGCCCCAGAGAAAUUUGGAUUAAUGCCCCAUAGUGUUAUCGAAUCGCAUGGUUUGAUAACUAAAGUUCCAACGGUAUAAGAUGAGCAUGCGUCCAUUAGUUAGUUGGUAAGGUAACGGCUUACCAAGGCUACGAUGGGUAGGGGUCCUGAGAGGGAGAUCCCCCACACUGGUACUGAGACACGGACCAGACUCCUACGGGAGCAGCAGUGAGGAUAUUGGACAAUGGGCGCAAGCCUGAUCCAGCCAUGCCGCGUGCAGGAUGACGGUCCUA